rnacentral:antisense_RNA from 1 species
GGCCGCCAUGUUUCCUGAACACAAAAUGGCGACACGUGGUUAGCAUUCGUCGCCAACGAGAAAUUGGGGUCGGCCCGAAAGCUCUAGAAUGCACCCCUAUUCCUCCCCGGGGCCAUUCCCGCUCAACGAGUUUUAUGACCUAAAAAACCCCACAGGCUGGUCUGAAGAGGAAGACACUUAAAGAUGAAGUGCUUAAUUCAAGGUCACAGAAUGUCGGGGAUGGACCUCCAGAUUUCCUUACUGACCUGCAUUAUCUUGUGGAUACCUGAGUGAAUUCCACACCACCCAUUUUAUAGAUGAAGCCACUGAGACGUGGAGCAACUGACUGAGUAGUCACUGCCCCACCCCUGCCUGGAGCCUCACACAUGACUUCUCUUAGUGACCACAGGUUGGUUGAGGGGUUUAACAAGGCUAAGAAGUACUUAUCCUGUAUUACAUGAGGGAAAUGAAAUAAAAAGACUGCAACCCUCCUCCCAGCUACUCUAGUGAGGUGGUAGCUAGAGACAGAGUCUUCUUGCUAUGUUGCCCAGGCUGGUCUUGAACUCCUAACCUCAAGCGAUCCUCCCAUCUUGGCCUCCCAGGUGUCAGGAUUACAGGCAUGUGCUAUCACACCCAACCUGAUACAUUGCCUUUAUAAAUUUUUUUUUCUUUAUUCUAAAAAACAGAAAAAACAAAACUGGAUACAUGUGCAGAACAUGCAGGUUUGUUACAUAGCUGUACGUGUGCCAUGGUGGUUUGCUGCACCUAUUGACCUAUCCUGUAAGUUCCCUCCCCUCACCCCCACCCCCCAACAGCCCU